AAUAAAAUCCAGCAGUUGUUGUCCAGGGCUACACUGAAGACAACUGGCUCAAGAGAAACAAGCAAGCAUGAAGUCCUUGUCCGUGGCUGUUGUCGUGCUGCUGCUGGUGCUGUCGUUACACUGUGAGGACAGUGUGGUGGAUGCAAAGUGCUGUUAUAAUGGAAAAGGACUCUGUAAAUCAUUCAACGAUUGCCGGAGAUUUGGGGGACAUCCUGUCAUUAGAACAGAAUGUGGUCUGUUCUCAAGGUGUUGUAUAUAGCCCAUGGCAAGUAUCAUCAGAGGAUCCAUGGCCCGAUCCUCCAAGAUCAUGAAGUCUUAUGGGACGUCACCAAGAGGACCUACUCUGGACUCCAAUCUGUUGAUGCUGUGAUAAUGAAGACUUUCAAGCAUCAAGAAAAGAUGAUCUUAUUCACUAAAUCAUAAAAUAUUAAUUGUAACUAUUUUUUCUUUAUAGAAAAUCUCACAAUAGAUUUACUAACAAGUCUAAAGCUUUACUGUAAUUCUGUAUUAAUCACUUUG